rnacentral:rRNA from 1 species
GUGGGGAAUCUUAGACAAUGGGCGCAAGCCUGAUCUAGCCAUGCCGCGUGAGCGAUGAAGGCCUUAGGGUUGUAAAGCUCUUUCGUGGGGGAAGAUAAUGACUGUACCCCAAGAAGAAGCCCCGGCUAACUCCGUGCCAGCAGCCGCGGUAAUACGGAGGGGGCUAGCGUUGUUCGGAAUUACUGGGCGUAAAGCGCACGUAGGCGGACUGGCAAGUCAGGGGUGAAAUCCCGGGGCUAAACCCCGAAACUGCCUUUGAAACUCCUGGUCUGGAGUUCGAGAGAGGUGAGUGGAAUUCCGAGUGUAGAGGUGAAAUUCGUAGAUAUUCGGAGGAACACCAGUGGCGAAGGCGGCUCUCUGGCCAUUGACUGACGCUGAGAUGCGAAAGCGUGGGGAGCAAACAGGAUUAGAUACCCCUGUAGUCC